rnacentral:rRNA from 1 species
CCUACGGGUGGCAGCAGUGAGGAAUAUUGGUCAAUGGACGAGAGUCUGAACCAGCCAAGUAGCGUGAAGGAUGACUGCCCUAUGGGUUGUAAACUCCUUUUAUAUGGGAAUAAAAUGUUCCACGUGUGGGAUUUUGUAUGUACCAUAUGAAUAAGGAUCGGCGAACUCCGUGCAAGCAGCCGCGGUAAUACGGAGGGUCCGAGCGUUAUCCGGAUUUAGUGGGUGUAAAGGGAGCGUAGGUGGAGUGGUAAGUCAGUUGUGAAAGUUUGCGGCUCAACCGUAAAAUUGCAGUUGAAACUGGCAGGCUUGAGUACAGGAGAGGUGGGCGGAAUUCGUGGUGUAGCGGUGAAAUGCUUAGAUAUCACGAAGAACUCCGAUUGCGAAGGCAGCUCACUGGACUGCAACUGACACUGAGGCUCGAAAGUGUGGGUAGCAAACAGGAUUAGAUACCCAGGUAGUC